rnacentral:tRNA from 1 species
CCAAGGCGUGGGACUGGAGUCCCCAUGGCUUGACAUCCCAUCCCCGAAAGGGGGCCCGGGUUCAAAUCCCGGCCCCGGC